GAUGAACGCUAGCGGCAGGCCUAAUACAUGCAAGUCGAACGGAGUAGCAAUACUUAGUGGCAAACGGGUGCGUAACGCGUAAGCAACCUACCGUCUACUGGGGGAUAGCCCGGCGAAAGCUGGGGUAAACCCGCACGGUCCCCCUGACUCACCUGGGUUGAGGGGUAAACAUUUAUGGGUAGACGAGGGACUUGCGUCUGAUUAGCUAGUUGGGGGGGUAACGGCCCACCAAGGCGAUGAUCAGUAGGGGUUCUGAGAGGAUUGGCCCCCACAUGGGUACUGAGAUACGGACCCAACUCCUACGGGAGGCAGCAGUAGGGAAUAUUGGGCAAUGGAGGCUACUCUGACCCAGCCAUGCCGCGUGCAGGAUGAAGGCGCUCAGCGUUGUAAACUGCUUUUAUCAGGGAAGAAGUAUAGUCCUGCGGGAUUAGUUGACGGUACCUGAGGAAUAAGCACCGGCUAACUCCGUGCCAGCAGCCGCGGUAAUACGGAGGGUGCAAGCGUUGUCCGGAUUUAUUGGGUUUAAAGGGUGCGUAGGUGGUCCUGUAAGUUUGGUUUGAAAGCAGGUGGCUCAACCAUCUGAUGUGGCUGGAAACUGUGGGACUUGAAUGGGUUGGCGGUAGCCGGAAUGGGUCAUGUAGCGGUGAAAUGCAUAGAUAUGACCCGGAACACCGAUUGCGAAGGCAGGCUAUUACUGUCUUGAUUGACAUUGAGGCACGAGAGCAUGGGUAGCGAACAGGAUUAGAUCCCCUGGUAGUCCCUGCCGUAAACGAUGAUUUCUGGCUGUAUGUGUUCUAACAUGUGUGGCUGAGCGAAAGCGUUAAGUAAUCCACCUGGGGAGUAC
rnacentral:rRNA from 1 species